UACAGAGGUCUCGAGCGUUGUUCGGAUUCAUUGGGCGUAAAGGGUGCGUAGGUGGCGCUGUAAGUCGGGUGUGAAAUCCUGAGGCUUAACCUCGGAACUGCAUUCGAUACUGCGGCGCUUGAGGACUGGAGAGGAGACUGGAAUUCAUGGUGUAGCAGUGAAAUGCGUAGAGAUCAUGAGGAAGACCAGUGGCGAAGGCGGGUCUCUGGGCUGACACUGACGCUCAUGCACGAAAGCGUGGGGGAGCAAAAGGG
rnacentral:rRNA from 1 species